rnacentral:rRNA from 1 species
UAUCCGGAAUUAUUGGGCGUAAAGGGCUCGUAGGCGGUUCGUCGCGUCCGGUGUGAAAGUCCAUCGCUUAACGGUGGAUCCGCGCCGGGUACGGGCGGGCUUGAGUGCGGUAGGGGAGACUGGAAUUCCCGGUGUAACGGUGGAAUGUGUAGAUAUCGGGAAGAACACCAAUGGCGAAGGCAGGUCUCUGGGCCGUCACUGACGCUGAGGAGCGAAAGCGUGGGGAGCGAACAGGAUUAGAUACCCUGGUAGUCCACGCCGUAAACGGUGGAUGCUGGAUGUGGGGACCAUUCCACGGUCUCCGUGUCGGAGCCAACGCGUUAAGCAUCCCGCCUGGGGAGUACGGCCGCAAGGCUAAAACUCCAAGAAAUUGACGGGGGCCCGCACAAGCGGCGGAGCAUGCGGAUUAAUCCGAUGCAACGCGAAGAACCUUACCUGGGCUUGACAUG